rnacentral:ncRNA from 1 species
UCGGCUGUUCGCCGAUUAAAGUGGCACGCGAGCUGGGUUCAGAACGUCGUGAGACAGUUCGGUCCCUAUCUGUUGUGGGCGUAGGAGAUUUGAGAGAACCUGACACUAGUACGAGAGGACCGUGUUGGACAGACCUCUGGUGUACCUGUUGUGGCGCCAGCUGCAUCGCAGGGUAGCUAUGUUUGGAAGAGAUAAGCACUGAAAGCAUCUAAGUACGAAGCUCGUCUCAAGAUGAGAUCUCCUUUAAGGGUCGUUGAAGACUACGACGUUGAUAGGUUGCAGGUGUAAAGGCGGUAACGUCAAAGCCGAGCAAUACUAAUUACCCGUAAACUUUCGGAGU